GACGAACGCUGGCGGCGUGCUUAACACAUGCAAGUCGAACGGGCUGCCUGGUUUUCGGAUCGGGGGGUGAGUGGCGAACGGGUGAGUAACACGUGAGUAACCUGCCCCUCUCUUUGGGAUAACGUCGGGAAAUCGGCGCUAAUACCGGGUAUUCUGGCUUCCUCGCAUGGGGUUGUUGGGAAAGGCUGUUUCUGGUGGGGGAUGGGCUCGCGGCCUAUCAGCUUGUUGGUGGGGUGAUGGCCUACCAAGGCGGUGACGGGUAGCCGGCCUGAGAGGGGAUCCGGCCACACUGGGACUGAGACAGGGCCUGGGCUCCUACGGGAGGCCGCAGUGGUGGAUAUUGCACAGUGGGAGGCAGACUGAUGCAGCGACGACGCGUGGGGGAUGGCGGGCGUCGGGUUGUAAUCCUCUUUCAGUGCAGAACAAGGCUCUUUGUGGGUUGAGGGUAGGCGCAGAAGAAGCGCCGGCUAACUACGUG
rnacentral:rRNA from 1 species